GCUGGGUGCGGUGGCUCACGCCUGUAAUCCCAGCACUUUGGGAGGCCGAGGCUGGAGGAUCGCUUGAGCCCAGGAGUUCUAGACUAGCCUGGGCAACAAAGUGAGACCCCGUCUCUA
rfam:Pan troglodytes isolate Yerkes chimp pedigree #C0471 (Clint) chromosome 20, whole genome shotgun sequence.